AAAUUGAAGAGUUUGAUCAUGGCUCAGAUUGAACGCUGGCGGCAGGCCUAACACAUGCAAGUCGAACGGUAACAGGAAGCAGCUUGCUGCUUCGCUGACGAGUGGCGGACGGGUGAGUAAUGUCUGGGAAACUGCCUGAUGGAGGGGGAUAACUACUGGAAACGGUGGCUAAUACCGCAUAACGUCGCAAGACCAAAGAGGGGGACCUUCGGGCCUCUUGCCAUCAGAUGUGCCCAGAUGGGAUUAGCUUGUUGGUGAGGUAACGGCUCACCAAGGCGACGAUCCCUAGCUGGUCUGAGAGGAUGACCAGCCACACUGGAACUGAGACACGGUCCAGACUCCUACGGGAGGCAGCAGUGGGGAAUAUUGCACAAUGGGCGCAAGCCUGAUGCAGCCAUGCCGCGUGUAUGAAGAAGGCCUUCGGGUUGUAAAGUACUUUCAGCGGGGAGGAAGGUGUUGUGGUUAAUAACCGCAGCAAUUGACGUUACCCGCAGAAGAAGCACCGGCUAACUCCGUGCCAGCAGCCGCGGUAAUACGGAGGGUGCAAGCGUUAAUCGGAAUUACUGGGCGUAAAGCGCACGCAGGCGGUCUGUCAAGUCGGAUGUGAAAUCCCCGGGCUCAACCUGGGAACUGCAUUCGAAACUGGCAGGCUUGAGUCUUGUAGAGGGGGGUAGAAUUCCAGGUGUAGCGGUGAAAUGCGUAGAGAUCUGGAGGAAUACCGGUGGCGAAGGCGGCCCCCUGGACAAAGACUGACGCUCAGGUGCGAAAGCGUGGGGAGCAAACAGGAUUAGAUACCCUGGUAGUCCACGCCGUAAACGAUGUCUACUUGGAGGUUGUGCCCUUGAGGCGUGGCUUCCGGAGCUAACGCGUUAAGUAGACCGCCUGGGGAGUACGGCCGCAAGGUUAAAACUCAAAUGAAUUGACGGGGGCCCGCACAAGCGGUGGAGCAUGUGGUUUAAUUCGAUGCAACGCGAAGAACCUUACCUGGUCUUGACAUCCACAGAACUUUCCAGAGAUGGAUUGGUGCCUUCGGGAACUGUGAGACAGGUGCUGCAUGGCUGUCGUCAGCUCGUGUUGUGAAAUGUUGGGUUAAGUCCCGCAACGAGCGCAACCCUUAUCCU
rnacentral:rRNA from 1 species